GAUGAACGCUGGCGGCGUGCCUAAUACAUGCAAGUCGAGCGAACAGACGAGGAGCUUGCUCCUCUGACGUUAGCGGCGGACGGGUGAGUAACACGUGGAUAACCUACCUAUAAGACUGGGAUAACUUCGGGAAACCGGAGCUAAUACCGGAUAAUAUAUUGAACCGCAUGGUUCAAUAGUGAAAGACGGUUUUGCUGUCACUUAUAGAUGGAUCCGCGCCGCAUUAGCUAGUUGGUAAGGUAACGGCUUACCAAGGCGACGAUGCGUAGCCGACCUGAGAGGGUGAUCGGCCACACUGGAACUGAGACACGGUCCAGACUCCUACGGGAGGCAGCAGUAGGGAAUCUUCCGCAAUGGGCGAAAGCCUAACGGAGCAACGCCGCGUGAGUGAUGAAGGUCUUCGGAUCGUAAAACUCUGUUAUUAGGGAAGAACAAAUGUGUAAGUAACUAUGCACGUCUUGACGGUACCUAAUCAGAAAGCCACGGCUAACUACGU
rnacentral:rRNA from 1 species